UCCAGACUCCUACGGGAGGCAGCAGUGGGGGAUAUUGCACAAUGGGGGGAACCCUGAUGCAGCGACGCCGCGUGGGUGAAGAAGCGCCUCGGCGCGUAAAGCCCUUUCAGCAGGGAAGAAAAUGACGGUACCUGAAGAAGAAGCCCCGGCUAACUACGUGCCAGCAGCCGCGGUAAUACGUAGGGGGCAAGCGUUAUCCGGAUUUACUGGGUGUAAAGGGAGCGUAGGCGGUUUAGCAAGUCAGAAGUGAAAGCCCGGGGCUCAACUCCGGGACUGCUUUUGAAACUGUUGAACUAGAUUGCAGGAGAGGUAAGUGGAAUUCCUAGUGUAGCGGUGAAAUGCGUAGAUAUUAGGAGGAACACCAGUGGCGAAGGCGGCUUACUGGACUGUAAAUGACGCUGAGGCUCGAAAGCGUGGGGAGCAAACAGGAUUAGAUACCCCCGUAGUC
rnacentral:rRNA from 1 species